CAUUUUUCAAAGACGUUUUUCAAGACACAGGAGAGGUCGGGUUGAAACAUUACUGAUGUUUCACGUUAAAAAUGGCUCUAAAGAUUGAUGCUAAACAACGUUUGACAUGUUUGAACAAUGUAAAUAGAUUAUUUUUUUUACUUUUCGCCGUGAAUCCCCCCCCCCGCGCUACUUUUUAGUAGCCUACCGAAGCGCUAACAACAUGGAACAACUUGGAGUUAUUUGGACAUCAAUUAUGAACUUUGUCAAAAGAAACCACAUUUGUAGUGGACCUGGGAUUUCUAGAAGUGCCAAUGGAUGAAGAUAAUCAAAGAUCCCGGCUGUCUUCAAAGCACCAUAAAUCCAGAGAAUGACAGACUUUGAUGACAAAGUUAGAUUACAAAAUUUGCCCACAAGAAGAACCGCCGCACCACCUUCAUGUUCAAGUGAGCACAGCACAACAAGAAUCACGCACAUGAAUUGAUGGAGUCAGCAGGAGCUUCAGCGCCAGCCCUGUCCAUGGAAGAAAGGGUUGCCCGGGAGUCCAGAAGGCAGGCGGAGCACUCCUUUGACAUCUCAGGCCGGUGGUAGCUGGUCCGAUGCAGGACGAUGAGGUGCAGGAGGUCCCUCCGCCCUUCCUGGACAUCGGGGGGGCCCGGCGUACACAGUCCGGUCCAUCUUGGACUCCAGGUGCUGGGUGAGGGGCCUGCAGUACCUCGUGGACUGGGAGGGGUACGGCCCGGAGGAGAGGUGCUGGGUACGUGUGGAGGACAUAUUGGACCCAGCGCUAAUCCGGGAGUUCCACAGCCUCCAUCCGGAUCGCCCUGCGCAUCGCCCUCCGGGGCAUCCUCGAGGCCGGCGUCGGCUCGCUGUGGGAGCCGCGCGUCGGGGGGUACUGUCACGACACCGACGGAAGGUGGCGCCCCUCCUUGCCCGGGCGGCGCUCGGCGGUCGUCGUCGGCGGCCUACUAGCUGCCAUUGAUCCUCUGUUUCACUUUCUGUUGGUUAGGUCUAGGUUAGGCACGCACCUGUUUUGUAUUUGUUGUUAGUGGGGGGGGUAUUUAGUCUAGCUAGGUAGGUUUGUGUUUUGUGCGUGAUUGUUCUGUGUCAGGACGUAUAUCGUUCGCGGAACAAGUGUUUCCAUCUGCCUGUGUUUUUUUUCGCAGAGGUUAUUGUGGGCUGCGUCCCUGCUGUUUUGAGCUGGGUUUUUGGAGCAUUUGUUUUAUGCGCCCUGCCCUACCUUGUUUCGUACAAUGGAUGCCCAUUAAAAGUGUGUUCACAGAUUUUCUGUCUCCUGCGCUUGACUCUACCUCUCCUGCUUCCUUGAGCCAACCUUGACAUGCGGAGUUACUUGCUUGGAUCUCAAGUU
rnacentral:lncRNA from 1 species